rnacentral:rRNA from 1 species
UACGGAGGGUGCGAGCGUUGUCCGGAAUCAUUGGGCGUAAAGGGCGCGUAGGUGGCGGGACAAGCGUGCGGUGAAAGCCUGGGGCUCAACCCCGGGUCGGCCGUGCGAACUGUUUUGCUUGAGCACUGUAGAGGCAGGCGGAAUUCCGGGUGUAGCGGUGGAAUGCGUAGAGAUCCGGAAGAACACCGGUGGCGAAGGCGGCCUGCUGAGCAGUAGCUGACACUGAGGCGCGACAGCGUGGGGAGCAAACAGG